GGUUGGUCCCUAAUAGGUCUGGGUUUAAAAUGGGACAUUGGUGUUUACAACUAAUUGAUCACAACCAGAUGCAGAUUCCUUUGUUCCGUCUCUACUCUCCCUGCUUCACUUGACCAGCCUUUA
rnacentral:Y_RNA from 1 species